rnacentral:tRNA from 1 species
GGAGACGUGACCGAGCGGCCGAAGGUGCUCCCCUGCUAAGGGAGUAUGGGGUGUUGAGCCUCAUCGAGGGUUCGAAUCCCUCCGUCUCCGCCG